CUUCCUGAUAUUUGUAAACUCAUGUCUUUUUUCAGCCAUCUUCCCUCAGAUAGUUCCAUUUACUCUCCUAACGGGUAAGAAACUUAACCAUCUUCGUGUUCAGCGAUAAAAGAUCGGUGCCUGUUUUUCACUCUUGUGGCUGAAGUUGUAAGAGAUCGUGGAGCAAAAACUUGAUACUUUUGCCACUUGUGAAGAGAGUCUGGCAGAAAACAGAGCUCUGUGAGGUGCUGCUUGUCAAACACAGAUCCCGCAGAUAGACCAGCAACUACAAACAAAGCCCAGAGGAAUUUCAUGUGGAAUUCUGUGGAACAGGAGGCUGACCUCUUAUUAUCUGGGAGGCUUUGGUGACAGAAGAAACUGCAGCCUCUGUUAUAUUAUAUGAAGAUGAAGACUGCUGUGAUCAACAUGAGGGAUGCCAUUUGUUUCAUAAGGUUGUAUGAAAAGUUCAAGUUAGGCUAGGGAGAUGACUCAGUGCUUAAAGUGCUUGCAAUGUGUGCUGGUCAAUUUUACCUGUCAACUUGACAUGAUCCUGAAUCACCUGAGAAACUAAAUUAGGAAUAGUCUAGAUCAAGUGGCCUGUGGGCAUGUCUGCGGGUGAUUGUCUUGAUUGUUAACUGGUAUGGGAAAAACUAGCCCACUGGGGAUCCCACUACACUCUAAGCAAGGACUCAGACCUUCUAAGAGAAGAGAAACCCAGCUGAGAGCUAACAUGAAAGGAUGUGUUUAUUCUUUCUGUUCUUGACUGUAGUUGUGAAAGUCCAAGUUAUGCCGCUACCUUUUUCAUAUUUCCCUUUGUAUGUUUUGUUUAAUAAAAGUCCACUUACAAUAACAGACUAUAAGUGGAAUUGUAAGCCACAUCAAUCCUUUAUUUCUCCAUGCUGCUUUGUAUCAGGCUAUAUCACAACAAAAGAAGGGAAAUUGGGACACUUUGUAAGCAGCAAUCACAAGGAUUAGAGUUCAAAACCCAAGAGCCUGUGCAAAAGCAUGGUGGGCCUGGAAUUCUGGUACUGAGAAUCCAGGGACUCUGGGUCCAGCUGGUGGUCUCUGGGUUUGACUGAGAGAGACUGACUCAAUGAAGAAGGUGGAAAGUGGAUAAAUAAGACUCCCAACAUCAGCUCAUGGGCUCCAUGCAUAGCCCUACACCUGGAAAUGAUCCCAAUAUUCUAUCUUCAGUAAUUCUGAAUUUUCUUUGUUGUGUUGGUCCUGUCCCAAAAAGGGAUUGGUCACACAGAGCAAUACCACAUAUUUCACUUGCCUCGAAGCAAAGGGGUGACUAUUGUGUGUAUUUUCUUCAGCUAUAGAGAGUAAAUUCACAGUACUUGAAGUACUCUAUUGCUAGGGGUAUUUAGCCAAAUCCCUUUCUGUCACUGCACUACCUGCCACUUGCUCCCACUUGCCUUUCUUGACUGCACCACUCACUCUCAGCAGUGAGGCACUUCCUGCGUUCUGUUCUGAGACUAGACCAUAUCAGAUGGCAGUGGAGAACAACCUGGUCAUCAUGAUGAACCUGGAUCAUGUGUGUCUGCCGGCCCCACCUCUAAUAUAACCAACACACCCAGGCUUGCCAAGGAGUGAGAAUGUUGUGGUCAUAGCUUUGCAGUUUGAGAAUGAUUUGUUUAAGAUUCUUGCUUCUUCUUGCUUGACUGUGAAUUCCUUGAGGUUAGGCAGCCCAUUUCUGUUUAUUUGCCCUCAGAUAGCCUGUCCUACAGAGAGUUCAGGCCUGUUGUUUCCCCAGGCAAUCUUUCUUUCCUCAGGACAAGACUGUCUCAGUCUGGAGUCAUCCUAUACAAUACAAAUUUCCCACUCUAUCUGCUUUGUUUUACUUAACAUGGCUCAUCUUCAUAUGCAAUUAUCCCUCUGCUUUCCUUUUAUUAUUUUAUCCUGUGAGGAAAGUGACUAGUUUGUGUUCACUUCUAAACAGAGACUAGAAACGGUAACUGGUUAAGUUGAUGCUCAUUAAACACUUGCACAAUGAAUGGAAGCAUUGUAGGGGAAAUGUGUUUUCUGUAUGGGAAGAAGAAAAGAGGAUGGAAAGCAAAGAAGGAGAGAGAGGAAAGAAGGAAGAAUAGAGAAGGAACAGCACUCUUAAAAGCCUAAAGCAGUUGACGCUCACAGUAAACAGAGAAAAUCAGCCUAUGAUAGGACUUUGUAUUGUUUCCAUUGUCUUAAGCACAGAGGAUAAUGAGACUAGUCAGACCACACCAGUGCCAAUCCUGCUCUGCUUCAAUGACACCGUCUUCCUGUUAAGAGAGCAGGCCUUCUACCAUUCCAUGCUACUAAACUCUUCAUUUUGAUAUAUCCUCAACUGGUUAUACACAAAGCUUAACUUUUAGGUAACUUAGAAAGUACAUGAUUAAAU
ensembl:lncRNA